rnacentral:rRNA from 1 species
CAGCCGCCGCGGGAACACCGAGGGUGCAAGCGUUAAUCGGAAUUACUGGGCGUAAAGCGCACGCAGGCGGUCUGACAAGUCAGAUGUGAAAUCCCCGGGCUUAACCUGGGAACUGCAUUUGAAACUGUCAGGCUGGAGUCUUGUAGAGGGGGGUGGAAUUCCAGGUGUAGCGGUGAAAUGCGUAGAGAUCUGGAGGAAUACCGGUGGCGAAGGCGGCCCCCUGGACAAAGACUGACGCUCAGGUGCGAAAGCGUGGGGAGCAAACAGGAUUAGAUACCCCGGUAGUCCCUGUCUCUUAUAC